rnacentral:rRNA from 1 species
UAGGGAAUCUUCCGCAAUGGGCGAAAGCCUGACGGAGCAACGCCGCGUGAGUGAUGAAGGUCUUCGGAUCGUAAAACUCUGUUAUUAGGGAAGAACAAAUGUGUAAGUAACUAUGCACGUCUUGACGGUACCUAAUCAGAAAGCCACGGCUAACUACGUGCCAGCAGCCGCGGUAAUACGUAGGUGGCAAGCGUUAUCCGGAAUUAUUGGGCGUAAAGCGCGCGUAGGCGGUUUUUUAAGUCUGAUGUGAAAGCCCACGGCUCAACCGUGGAGGGUCAUUGGAAACUGGAAAACUUGAGUGCAGAGGAGGAAAGUGGAAUUCCGUGUGUAGCGGUGAAAUGCGCAGAGAUAUGGAGGAACACCAGUGGCGAAGGCGACUUUCUGGUCUGUAACUGACGCUGAUGUGCGAAAGCGUGGGGAUCAAACAGG